CUCUUCAAGGCCAUCACAGGGAAGGAGAGUGGAGCGAGAGACAGCAAAUAGCUGGGCCGUUUGCUCAGGCCAGGUGACGUCCAUCUGCCCUCGAGCCCGCGCCCCCAGACCUUUCUCUCUGCCUCUCUGUUCACUGGUCAAACUCCAUAGCCAUGGCACAUGCGUCAGUAUCCUGGGUGCUGAGUGGAAGGAAGAGUGAGUGUGGCUUCUCAUAUGAGCUCCCUGUAUCUGCUGUCAGUUCACUGCCCUUAAACUGCUCUGGCAAAAGUGGAGUGAAAUGAAAUGAGGAAGAAAACAGCUGUCAAUAUAUUGAGUUACACUGGGAGGUCCAAGUGAGCCUUUUCAAAAAACAGGAGCUUUGUGAAUAAAAAAAUGU